CACGUAGGGCGCAAGCGUUGUCCGGAAUCACUGGGCGUAAAGCGCACGUAGGCGGAUUGCUAAGUCAGGGGUGAAAUCCUGGAGCUCAACUCCAGAACUGCCUUUGAUACUGGCGACCUUGAGUCCGGGAGAGGUGAGUGGAACUGCGAGUGUAGAGGUGAAAUUCGUAGAUAUUCGCAAGAACACCAGUGGCGAAGGCGGCUCACUGGCCCGGUACUGACGCUGAGGUGCG
rnacentral:rRNA from 1 species